rnacentral:rRNA from 1 species
ACGGAAGGCAGCAGUGAGGAAUAUUGGUCAAUGGGCGGAAGCCUGAACCAGCCAAGUCGCGUGAAGGAUGAAGGUAUUAUGUAUUGUAAACUUCUUUAGCUGUGGAGCAAUAAUCGCCAUGCAUGGCGAGAUGAGAGUACACAGAGAAUAAGGAUCGGCUAACUCCGUGCCAGCAGCCGCGGUAAUACGGAGGAUCCGAGCGUUAUCCGGAUUUAUUGGGUUUAAAGGGUGCGCAGGCGGUUCUUUAAGUCAGUGGUUAAAUCGUGGGGCUCAACCCCAUCACGCCAUUGAUACUGGAGGACUUGAUUGCGGUUGAGGUAGGCGGAAUUCGUCGUGUAGCGGUGAAAUGCAUAGAUAUGACGAAGAACCCCGAUUGCGUAGGCAGCUUACCAAGCCGUAAAUGACGCUCAUGCACGAAAGUGCGGGGAUCGAACAGGAUUAGAUACCCUGGUA